rnacentral:tRNA from 1 species
GUCAUGAUAGCUCAAGUGGUAGAGCAGCGGCUUUUCUAGCCGAAGAUCUUGGGUUCGAAUCCCGCUCGUGACA